rnacentral:rRNA from 1 species
GCACAACGCGAAGAACCUUACCAAGACUUGACAUACAAUUGAAUACGUAAGAAAUUACGUAGUCCUUCGGGACAGUUGUACAGGUGAUGCACGGUUGUCGUCAGCUCGUGUCGUGAGACGUUGGGUUAAGUCCCGCAACGAGCGCAACCCUCGUGACUAGUUGCUGCCUAGCAGAACUCUAGUCAGACUGCCGUAGUUAAUACGGAGGAAGGUGAGGAUGACGUCAAAUCAUCAUGUCCCUUAUGUCUUGGGCUACACACGUACUACAAUGACUACUACAAAGAGAAGCAAGAUCGCGAGAUUGAGACAAAACUGAAAAAAGUAGUCCUAGUUCGGAUUGGAGGCUGCAACUCGCCUCCAUGAAGCUGGAAUUGCUAGUAAUCACAGGUCAGCAUACUGUGGUGAAUACGUUCCCGGGUCUUGUACACACCG